AGCCCAUUCCAACCUUCAGAUGACUCCAGCUCCAGCUGUGACUUAACUGAAAGCACGUGAGAGAAACCCCAAGCCAGGAUCUAGACCAGGGGAAAGCAUGAACCUAGUCUCCAACUAUCACAAAUUAUGAAGCUCAGUUUCCCACAUAUGGCGAAAUCACAUCUGGAGUGUAAUGGCUUUUGUACACAACAGGCAGUCACUCACACAAGGAGGCCUCUAAACACUGAAACUCUCCAGAGGUGGAUGCUUUGGUCAAGACUAUGGAGAAGGAAGAUAGAGACUUUAAUCUCAAAUGCUUCCCUUGGCACCUCAGAAUCAACAGUGACUGCUUUAAAGUUUUCUGAAGACUAUGGUCUAUAGGAAUGAAGUCACCAAUUUUCAUGUUCUGCCUAGUUUGACUGUUUAGGCAAAUCCCCUGAUCUCCUCACCUCUUCAACCACCCAGAUGUCCAUAUUCUCUUCCAGGGCAAGACUGCUGGGGAUGAAGCUUCAUACUUUAUAAUUAUCUUCUCUUCAUUUCAAAAAACAUUCUUUCCUCUACUGCAACUAUUGGAAAGCAGGAAAGUGACUUCACAACAAGACUUAUUCAUAUUAAAGAGAGAAUGACUGAUACCAUUGGGGGGUACCACUUCAACUAAUUUAUUUGUAUUUUUAGGUUAGGAACAUUCAUUUCUUGGAGCAUUAUGUUUUAUGAACAUUAAGCAUUCUGUCUCCAUUGUCCCUAAGUACCAAUUUAAGGUUUAGAAUGGAUUAUUACUGUAAUAUGAACCCAGAGGGGAAAAUCUUCAGUAGUAUUAUUCUAAAGACUGGGAUUGGUAAAGAAGAGCUCUUCAUACCCCUAGACCAUACCAUACUGAAAACUGAUUGCUUAGAGAGCUCACUCUCUAUUCCUAUAUCUAAUCCAGGACUAAGAGCUAAAGGCUUUCCUGAGGUAUCUUUCUAAGAUUCAUCCUUGGUAUGCAGAAGGAGCAUCUAGAUUCAAUACAGAUGGGUGUGUUCUACACUGUGCAAUAAACAAGUGACUAAUGAACUCCCAUGUACAGUUGUCCUCAGUAUCUGUAGAGGAUUAGAUUUAUGAUCCUCCACAUAUACCAAAAUCCUAAAAUGCUUAAGUACCUUAUAUAAAUUGGCACAGUAUUUGCAUAUCAUCCACACACAUCCUACAUAUGCUUUAACUCAUCUCUAGAAUACCUAAUGCAAUAUAAAUACUACUUAAGUAGUAAUUAUAUUAUAGUGUUUAGGGAGUAAUGACAAUAACAUAGUUUGUACAAGUUCAGUACAGAUACAUUUUUUUCAAAUAUUUUUGAUCCACAGUUGGUGAAAUCUGUGGAUGCAAAGCACUGACAAUAUUCAUUAUUGGCCUUGUCAAGUGUUUGCAUAAAGGUUCACCAAUUGAUCCUCUAUCUGUGAAGUGAAUACAGAAAAGAUAGGACAAGGCAGUUAGUAGAACAGGAAGGAGACUUCAGGGGACUCCUGUAGCUUGUGUAGAAAUGGCAUGGCAGAUGACAGAGUUUAAGGUCAAGGUAAAAUGAACCCCUGAAACAUAAAGGCAAUGGAUGAGUUAGCAUGGGUUAGGACUCAAAAGCUCAGAGAUCCAUGUGGUUUUCUGUGUGGAAAACACAGAAAGUGUUUUCACAGAAAGGAAGUGAGGAGGAGGCAGCAGUUACCAAGACAGGAGAAAACCUAGAACAUUUGAAAAGGGAAUAUCAAUUGGUCCAGAUACCCAUAGUGUAAAUACUUCAAAAAACUCCUAACAGUUUGAUUGAGCUCAUGCAUGUCCAUGGAAUGGUGCUUUUCCUCCACCUUUCUCUGAAGGGCUAGUAAACCACAGUGCAGGUGGCCAUUCUGAUUGGACUCUGUUGAGAAAGGAAAAAGGAAGUAUCAGAAAGAGGGAGGAAGAUGUCUUCCAGGAAUAAUGUUUAGGAACAUCCUGGGAUAACUGGAUGAACAUCUUUAGUGGGGACCAAAAAUGGGAAUGAAUAGAAUGGAGAACAAAGAUUUCUUUGACAUGGCCUAGGGUAGAAAAAAUUUGAUUUGAAAGUCUCAAUUUUGUUCCUAUUUCAAAAGACUACUUUGUGAUAUUGUCUGUGGUUGUUGUGCAAACUAAAGUUUCUGGCAAAACCAUUCAUGCAUCACAUACCACAAUGUGCUCUUUAACUCACUCCCAAGGUGAUUGUAGCGCUCAAAGGAAGGAAAUCACUGAUGGAAAUCCUUUGUCUUUCUUGGAUAGCAAAUAAAUUGCAUCAAUUACUUCUGGAAAAAUGAAUUUGAAGCUGUAUAGUAAUAUGAAGACUGAAAUUUGAAUUUUUCUUAGUAAUUUAAAGAUGGAUGUUCAGUACCCAGCAAAUGACCUGUCUCUCCCUAAGUCCUGUGAAAUUACUCUCUCCCUCUUGGGCCAUCUGGUAUUGGCAUUACACCUUCAUGUGUUUUUUCACUCUCAAUAGCAGAUCAUCGCCCACACUCUUUCAUGCCAAGAAUUACAUCCCUGCAGUGUUUGGUCCAUCCUUUCCAAACUUCCAUCACGUAUUUCUUGAAGCACCGCAAUAUCUCUGGAUAAGAAAAGCCUUUUUUCCUCAUCCUUUUCCUCAUAUAGAACCUCUAGGCAUGAAAUCAUCAUUCAUAAGCGGUGUACCUAUUUUACCUUUUAUUUACUCAUGGGUAUUGGUUGCUGUUUGAGUGAAGAGUCAAACUGUUCUCUGUAGACUUAGUCUCUUCUAUUUGUGUCAACAAUGUCCACUUUUAGUUAUAACCUACUUAGAGAUAGAAAGUAUAUUCUCCAGCUAGUAGUUUUUGAAAGUGGCUUAUAGGAAUAUCCCCUGAAAUACAGGAAAAAAACACUAAAAAUCAUAUAUUUAGGUUACAUAUAUAUACAAAAAUACCCAUAUA